AUCCAGCAGCUACAGCUUUUCUUGAGGACGAGAAAAAGUCAGGGGCCAGCCCUCUGUCACGGUAUGUUGCAACUCUGCAACAGAGAGCACAACAACGAUAUGAGUCAUUGGAGGAAUCCAGUGUCCUUGUAGGUGAACACUCUUUUGUCUUUGGGAAUAAGGCGUCCGAAAUGAUAGAAGAUGAAGAUGAUGAUGCUGAAAAUGAGAAAGGUGCAGCCAUCUUUAGCUCCUCUUGGUUACCAGGAGGUGAAUCCAGGGUCAAGGCUUCUAAGGAGAAAAAGAAAACGAAGAAGAGAACAGGGAGGCAGC
rnacentral:misc_RNA from 1 species